GCUAUGCUAUGGUUUGACACAAGCGAGGCGCUUUGCGGAGUGUAUCACCGUGGGUCUGGGGAGCAAAUGGGGGUACUCGACCCUAAAGGAGGCCUUGCGUUUCACAGAUCAUGUUGACCUCCUGCCUGAGGGUUGUCCUGAACUCCUGCAGCAGCAAAAUAUAAUUGACAUCAUUUUGCUACAGACUUGAGGACCUUGAUUAGUCAGGGUACCAUAGCUGAGUAGUAGGCAGAGAAAUCACUACCAAGGAUACGUUGGGCCCUGGUGAGUUGCCUGGUGAUAUAAGAGAACAAAAGCCUGUCCGCGUCCUCAUGCCACACCAGGUCAAGCUGCACAGAACAUCUACAGCCCAUCAAACACAUGCUCUGGCUGUGAUCACACGGACACACUCAGGGGAUGUGAUGGGUGGAGAAAAACUAAGUUAUGGCACAAGGAAAGGAAAAUAAUCAUUUGAAUCUUCUCUUGGACUGGAAGUGUAUGAGGAGAAGUGAUUUUCCACCCUGGGUAACGGCCGUUCCUAGGUGUGCCGUAUGAAGUGCCUAGAAUGCCUUUGGCUUAACGAACGGACCUCUGCUUGAUUUUUAUCAGGUGUAUGUGUGUAUAAAGGGAGAUUGUGUGUUUUUAUUUUCCAGUAGCCAUUACCCAAACAUCCAUGCUGCCUGUGGCUCCACAAAUUGCUACCAGGCUUGUCGAAAAGUGGGUCCCGGGCUGAAUAAUCAAAAGGAGCAGCUUUUCUAGUGAUCAGCCACUAAUUAGAAUCACAAGCUGAAAUGAAAGCCGGCCAGUCCCGCAGCCAGUGAGGGCCGAUGGUGCCCCUGAUUCUGUAAACAGUCGGAAAAUGGGCCUCCAGACUCCAGAGGACACUGUGCGACUCCUUGCGGAUUGUGAGCACUGUGUAAAGGGCUUAGCGGAAUAGAUCCCACAAGCUCCGAUAACCAGCCCCGGCACAGAGGACGGCUUCACCACGUCUGGAACACGUGCGGGAGAGAUGCAUGCGAGAAGGACACGCACUGCACUGAAGGAUGUCCUCAGUAGUCAUCUGCAUCCCCCCAGGCCUCGGGCUGAUCACUGGGUAUUCCAGGAAGCGAGCGGCACGAAAAAUGGGAGUCUCAAUACGAACAGCCUCCGUUAAUCGAACCGCGGUGGCUGAGGUGUUUCUGAAGACCUUCCCAUGUUUGCCGCACACAAAAGGGCCCCCUUACUAAACAGAAGUGCGUCGUGCUCGCCUGCGCUCGGAGAAAGGGAGGAUUUUCCAGGCUCCUGUGUGAAAUCUCAAAGCAUUCAACGGCCCAAUUAAUGCUGACAGUUAAGGCUGGUCCUGCGUGUCAGAGGUGACUCUGUACUUCUCACUCGUCUUUUGUGGUUCUGUGGAAACGUUGGCGCUCCCCAUUUUUAGCCUCUAUUUUUAGUUUGAUGGCUGCCGCCUUUUCCUAUUAACAUUGUGUUCUCGUCUUAAACAUGGGCCCACGUAUUUUGCUGUAUCCUGAUGUACAAAAGCUGCUGUCCUUCCCUGUGUACUUGGGUGAACCUUUUGACGCAUCACUGCUUGAUUUUUUUCAGUAAGCUGUCAUUGGCUGAAUGUGAUUUUGCCUCUUUUUUUAUGCUCCAUCCUUGCGUUCAAGCAGAAUAAAAAAAAAUAAAUCAUUUAGCUGACUAACAUAUAGUUUCUUUCCGGCCAACGCUACUCUUAAUUUGCACUGAGUGGCAGGCUAACUAAAUUUGAGUAAACGAUGACAUCCGCACUGCUGUAACUCGAUCGCUGCCACCGUGAUUAGCAGCCCCACACCCGUCCACUGUACCUGAGCUCCGAGCUGUCAUUCCGCCGUUACGAGGCGGAGUCAGUCUGACUGUCGAUUCUGCUCUCUGACGACUGAAUUCAGAUGCUGGCUUUUGAUGAUGUGCAUGGAGGAGGAAGCGAUGCUGAGACUGACCUUUGUGUUAUCAGAUUAUCAUGACUCUCGUGUGUCUCCAUCUCUGUUCAAUGCUCACAUCACACGCACAGUCAAGUCGAGCCUAGAUAUGCUGCCCGUCACAUUGCACUAUUGGCCGAUGACCAUGGGUACAAAAGAAGGGAGCCUGAAAGUCAAUGGUCAACAGUUUAAACUCUGUAUGAUUGUGUUUUUUUGUAUUUCUGUCAUCAUAUAAUGGUUUUGUUUUGGCUAAAGAAGAUACUUCAAUUUUGUUAUAUUGAUGUUUUCAAAGAUAAGCAAUUAACGAGUACUACUUCUACUCUUAUGUGUUGUCAGGGAUACAACACUUUCUUGCACGUGUAUAUGUCUGCAGUACAGAAUACAGACCUGCCUGUUUAUCCCUUAUUUACCAGAAUAAAUAAAUGCUUUGCUCUUUAUUCUA